ensembl:snRNA U6 U6 spliceosomal RNA
AUGCUCACUUCGGCAGCAGAUAUACUAAAAUUGGAAUGAUACAGAGAGGAUUUCAUGGCCCCUGUGCAAGGAUAACAUGCAAAUUCAUGAAGCAUUUCAUAUUUUU